UUUUUUUUUUUUAGUUUCUGUGCCCCUGCUUCAGUGUACCACUUUUCUAACUCCUGGAAGAGAUUGAAGCAGAGAUUGACUUGAAAGGCCUUGAGACUCCUCAAAAACAGCGUCCAGAGGGCAGUAAAUAGGUUGGCAAACAAGGAAUAGGAGGACCUGUGGUUUACACCCAGUGUCAACAACAAGAUAAUUUGCCUAUGGGGUGCAUGGCAGACACAGCAUGAUUACACAAAGUCCACAUCAUCUAAAGAAGAAAUCUGUGGCUGCUUGAGCUGAUUGUUAGUGCUAUAAACUCGAAUGCAGUGACAUUUGCUUCUUGCCUGAAAUGUAAUGAUCUCUUCUGUAUGUGUAUUUAUGUGUUUAUACAUUAUAGCCUUGUGUUGGAAGACAUGAAUGUUAAAUGUGUUUUUCUUCCCUGACCUGAACAGCUUUUACUGACUCCUACCCUACCCUAUUUAUACAGUGCUACAUAGCAAUGAAUGCUUUUAAUAGAAAAACCUCAGAGCUGUUUCUGGUGGUACUUAUUUUUCCUUUUCAGUGUGUGCACCAGGAUGCAAUGCUUAGUCAAAACAAUUGACUUUUUAUGUAGUUUUAUUUUUCCUUCAAGCUGCAAGAAGAGCAGAUCUCUCCAGUUAAAUCCCGCUAAGUGAAUGCUGCAAAUGACACAUCAGAGAAAAGCACUUGUUUUACCAGUCUGGCUUGAGAACAUUUGAAAUCAGACCUCAGUUUCAAGUGAAAGCUGGAGAGUAGCAGUCUGUCUUCAUGCCCUGUUCAAAACAGCAAGCAUCAAGUUCAACAGUCCAGAGCAGCAAAAGUGAAGCUUAGACAGUGACAUCUGUUGCUGUGCUAAAGGGGUUCUGGUAAGACCUGGAAAAACAGCCUCAGUAAGCUAAAGUGCUUUUGUUUAUUCUUGCAUGAUCUCUGAAGGUGAAGUACUCUGCUGUAAAAGCCCAUACAGCCUUAAGGUAAGGUUACUCCUUGUCUGUUAAACUGGGAUUUCUUUAGGAGCAUGCAGUAGGAUUCUGAUAUGUCUGCUUUCUUAAUGUCUACUGUACAACAUUCAUGGCAGACAUGGCAUGUAAUAGCUGAAAGGUGCAGAGUACUUGCGGUGUGAAAAAUGUCUCCCAAUUGCAGAUGUAAUGAAGACCAAGACAGACCAUAAGUUCUCUUUCACGUGCACAAACUUUCAUGAAUAAGUCUGCCCCUAAGUAUGCUGUGAUCUCUGGAUUAUCACAGUGUGGUACCUAGAGCGUAUUUACUGCCCUGAGGUUAAAUCACAACAAAGAAGUGGUCUAGGAAAUAUUGGUGUCUGUCUGUCAAGUUUUGAGUGUAUUUAAUCUCCAAAUCUGUUGCUGAUUUAUGCUGAUGUAUCUACUGAAAAAGGAAGAGUGGGAAGGAGUCAUUAUUCCCUCUCCAAAAAUAAUUUAUCAAGGGCAAAAGUCAUGUAACAAUUCAUCCUUGCUUUCAAAAAUGUAUAUUAUAUCAUGUCAGCACAUAAACAUGAAGAUGUAAUUGGUAAAACUUCUGAAAUAUGAACUAUCCCUGCCUUCUGAUUGUUGCAUGUUCUCAGCUAAGUUUCUGGUCCAGAAUUAUAUCUAGCUACACACCACAACAGCCUCCUGAAACAGGCAUUGGGCCCAAUCCAUGGUCUUGCAUAUCUUACAGUAACUUUGGAACAAAUCCUCCAAGAAAACUCAGAAUUAUCAUAAAAGAACUGAACUUCCUUCCAAACCAAGAGGUUGCAGGCCAAAUUGCAUGGAAACAAUAAGUAGGAAUUAGAGAGAAAAAAUGUAUUCAAAGGACAAAGUAUCUGAUCCUAAAGACAGCCACAAAUGUAGCAGGAGAUAUCCAGAGUCAGGCUGGAUGGGACUCUGAGCAGCCUGACUGAGCUCUUAGUGUCUUAGUUCGUUGCAGGGGAGUUGGACUAAGUGACCUUUAAGGGUCCCUUCCAACUCAAAGAAUUCUAUGAUUCUACAAAUGUAUAAAUACUGGUAAAACGUUCCUGAUUCACUGGAGUAGCCGACACUGUUGUUUCCCCUGAAUACUUUAUAAUCCCAAAUUAUAAAAAUGCCAUGCCUCAUUUGAUCAGAUCCAAAGUAUAAAGUUUUAGCUAAAAGUUCUCAGACUUGUAGGAAUAUUGCCGGAAUCUGAAACUUAAGUCCUGAACUGGGGAAAGUGGAGUAGCAAGGGAAAAGCUAUCAAUUAAUCUAGACUUCAAAGAUAAUCCUAUUUAGUUUAAAAGUUUUCUGUUAACUUUCAGAAAGGUAUUAAGACUCUUGUGUGUACUAACAGUACAAAUAAAAAUGGCUUUAUAAAUAAUAAUAAUAAGAAAAAACAAGCUUUAGAAUGUCAUAUAAACAUAGCUUUAUACUUCUGUCCUUCAGCAAUUUGGGUCUUGUGUUCAAUUCCACAAAUGACCUUUGUUGUAAACAGACUGUGUUUUUCCCCCUAAAUGCAUGAAUUAGAAUUCAGCUGGGGAUACAGUUGACUGAGAAUGCUGUGAUUUAAUCUAGAGACCUAUGUUAAGGUCGAGAGCAUUAGUAGGUAAGUAUAAUCAUUCUUUUACCUCAGCUGUUUAACUGGAUGACCCUGUUUUAUCUGUGUGGUGUAACCAGUAAUCACUGCAACCAAUUAUGGCAAUAUUGUUUAUUUCAUUAGUUCAAAAUAACAUCUAACCAAGGCAGCAAUUUUGUAAUUCCUUCUGGCAUAUUUGUCUUGCUUCCCUUAAACCUAUUACCCUUCAUUUUAUAUUUCUCUACUAUAAAUAUCCUUCUUUUUAACUUCUGACCUUUGCAAGAAUUCAUAUUUAAUAUAAUUUCUUCUUUUUUAAAAAUUGUAAAUCUUCCUGAUAUGAGUCUGGCACACCUCGCUCACUCACUCAAGAAAUAAAGCAGUCAAGGCAGUCUAAUAAGUUUCAGUUACAUGGCGUUUGGCAAUGAUAAUGCACCUUUUAGCUGGAAAAAACAUCCCUCUCUCUCUCAGUUCUCAUUCAAAAUCAGUGACACCCAGCAAGCAGGCUUCCCUUGGUAUUGGAUUGGGUGGUAAUUCCAAUCCUACUGGAGUAGAGCAACUAGAUUGUGCUGGAGUGAUAAUCAUAAACUCUAACAAUCCCAAAAAUAACAUAGAAGUUUCAUGUAUAUGUUAAACAAAACAAUGCCUUUUCUAUGAAUUCCUUCUUUAUUUUUAACACUGAUUUUGUUUCUCUAACUCCCUAGAAAAUCCUUGUGAGGCUGUUUGCAUUACAAAUAAAUGCCUAUUUUGGGUAUAAUCUCCCAGGUCCUUUAUGGAGAGGGGGGAGGUUCUGGUGGCAUUAAGAAGAGCUUUAGCCAGGGAAAUAAUGCUUGCGUAGAAUGAUAAUUGCUGACCACACACAAUUUCUGUUGACUUGAUUUGUAGUUGUGUGUGCUCAGGAUCUCUUGUGGUUUAAAAUCCAGUGUGCUACAUGAUGAUCCAAGAACUUAGUUCAAUCACUGGAAAAAGGCAAAUCACCAACAGAGGUCUUAGUUUGGUUUACAUUCGUCAAUCAAGAAAGCAGUCUUUUGGCUUACUGUGUGUGUGUGUGUGUGGUUAUCAUUAUUAUUCUUUUAAAAUUGCUGUGUUUAUACUGGUAUAAAACCUAGCACAGGAAGAGAUCUAAUAAGAUACUGUGCUUAACACAAUUUAGGCACAAUAUGUGUAGGAAUUAGAUGUGCAUACCUAUACACAGCUAUGUGUAACUGUGUGUACAACAGAGGGAAUUAGAAAUAUCCUUACAAAGACAAACCAAAGUACUGAAAUGUUUGAGUGAAGUCACCUUCUCUUGGAAGUCUGUGAGAACAUUGUUAUGGUAUGGUUCAGUUUUCAGGGGAAAAUUUGGUUGUUGUCUGUCCUGUGGUAGGGAGCCACUUCUAAAUUGUAAGUCAAUCAUGUUGCUACAGGAGACUGCUAUGUCAGCCUCUGCAGUACAACCUCUGGCAUGAUUGUUUUUCUUAAUGUUGAUGUCUGCAUCAUCUCACUUUACUGAUACUAAGCAGAACUGAUCACAGUAUCUUUGAGUUUAUGACCCAGACUGCAUUUAGUGGAAGGCAAAUGACCAUGGAACAGGGAAUCCUCUUGUUGGCUCCUGUGAGCACAAUCAAGGACCAGAAAUGUUUUCUCACUGACCACUCUGAAAUAUACUUUAUUUUGAAUGAGUCCUUGCAAUGACCUGCACAGUUUAGAUGUGGCGUAAUUCCUGUGUUUUAUCAGUAAUUAUACACUUCUUUGUUUGCUAAGUGUGACCUGUACUGGAAUACAUGAGAAACCUGCAAAAUGAAAUUUUAUAUAUAUAUGUGUAAAUAUAUAUAUAUAUAUAUAUAUACACCUUUUGUUCACGUUCAUGAACUUAUUUAAGAGAUUAUACUUUCUUCAUUAGAAAACCUCACAUCGGACGGAAACCAUUACAUAUUAAGCUUCUAUAACAUCCAAACCACCUACAACAGAAUGUGUCUAUGUUGACUCAUUACAGUUCUGGGAAAAAAAAGUCAUCUCUGUACACUAACAAAAGGGGCAGUGUAUCUUGAGAAGUGAGUGUAUGACAAACUGACAUAUACAAUAAAUAGGGAUCUUACUACAGUAACAGAUUGAAAUUAUAUAGUUCAUUUGAACCUUUUUCCAACUUCAGCUUAGCCUCAGCUAAAGCACACAGGAAAUAAACACAUUGAGCUGUCUGGCACCAAGCAACUCUCCAGGUCCUGUUCUGUCUCGCGCUCUGCUAGGCUUAUCCAUCCAAUCAACAUUAGGAGG